GGCGAGUGAAGCGGCAAGAGCUCAGAUUUGGAAUCGUGUUUCGGCACGAGUUGUAAAUUGCAGGUUGGAGUCUUUGUGGAAGCGUGUGUCCAAGUCCCUUGGAACAGGGCGCCAUUGAGGGUGAGAGCCCCGUGGGAUGCGCGCGGAAGCAGCAAGGCCCUUCUGACGAGUCGAGUUGUUUGGGAAUGCAGCUCUAAGCGGGUGGUAAAUUCCAUCUAAGGCUAAAUACUGGCGAGAGACCGAUAGCGAACAAGUACUGUGAAGGAAAGAUGAAAAGCACUUUGAAAAGAGAGUGAAACAGCACGUGAAAUUGUUGAAAGGGAAGGGUAUUGGGCCCGACAUGGGGAUUGCGCAUCUCUGCUCCUUGUGGGCGGGGCGCUGUGCUUUUCCUGGGCCAGCAUCGGUUUUUGCCGCAGGAGAAGGGGUACUGGAAUGUGGCUCCUCGGAGUGUUAUAGCCAGUGCCAGAUGCUGCGUGCGGGGACCGAGGGCUGCGACAUCUGUCUCGGAUGCUGGCACAACGGCGCAAUACCGCCCGUC
rnacentral:rRNA from 1 species